CUUUAAUCCCAGUGGUACACACCUUUAAUCACAGCCCUAUAGAGGAAUAUAAAACAGGGGAAGACAGAUCUCAGACACACUUUCAUUCUGAGAUUCCUGGAUGCAGGAUCACAAUUUCAGGCUGAGGUCAAGAGAGAUUUAGGUGGCAAGACUGGGAAACUUUUACAAACUUGGACAAUAUAUAAAGGAAUGCAGAAGGUAUGUUUGUGUUUUAGUCAAUGUUACUGUGAAGAAACACUAUGAUCCUGGCAACUCUUAUAAAGGGAAGUAUUAAAUUAGGGUUGACUUACAGUACAGAGGUUUAGAUCAUUGUCAUUAUGGCAGAAAGCAUGGUGGCAUGCAGGCAAACAUGGUACUAGAGAGGUAGCUGAGAGUUCUACCUUCAGAACUGCAUGAAGCAGGAAGAGAAAGAGACACUGGACCUGGUUUUAGCAUUUGAAAUCCCAAAACCCACUCCCAGGGACACACUUCCUCCAACAAGGCCACAGCCACUUCAAAAACUCACACCCCUGAUAGUGCCAAGUCCUUGGUAACCAAGUAUUCAAGUAUAUGAGCCUAUGAGGGUCAUUCACAUUCAAACCACCACAUUAUGACUGCCACACUUUACAAUAGAGAGCCAGCCUAGAAAAGUGAAAUUUUGCAUAAUACAAAUAUCAAAAGUUCAGAAAUUCCUGAGUCAAUGGAUAUGUUUACAUCACCAUUCCUGUAAAUACAGUUCAAGGAAUAUGAUGAAAGAGUAAACACCAUGAUUAUAAGAAUCAGAAUACCAGGAAGUAAAGUCUAUGGUGAAGCAGGCUCUCCUAGAAUUGCCUGCAUAUGCAAACAUAAAACCAUGGCAAUAUCAAUGACAUAUUUUAAUGUAGAAGGGAGGAAAUUUUCCUUGUUUUCCACUGACUGUAAGAAAGCACAAGCCAAUAUUUCUGCCUCGCUCCCCUUUCUUCUACUUUCCCUGUCAUAUCUGAGUCUAGUGAGGAAAAGUGUAUUUCCCGCACUCUCUCCUCUUUAACUAUCAUGAUACCCUCCUUAUAUUAUAAAGUUCUUUAUAGGCCAGUCUAAGUAGCAUUUACAUCACCUACAGCAACAGUCACACAAACCACUCUACUAGAAUAAUAUUUGAUUUUAUCUGUAUUUGUCCCUUUUUGGACUACAUUUACAUAGAUGAUUUUUUUUCCUGGAAACAGGAGAACAAAUGUCUUUUAAGAUCAGAAAAGGCAUUGAUGAAAAACCAAAUUAGUAAUUUCACUCAAGUAUGGCAAAGUGAGUCAAGGAAUUUAUCAGGUUAUUGCUGUGACUUAUGCUUAUUGUUAAUAAAAAACUAAUGGGCAGAUAGCAAGACAAAAAGAGAUUGGGUGAAACAGCCUGCCACACAGAGCGCGAUGGAAAGAGGAAGGGUGGAGUCAGGGAUG